AGAACCUUCCACAAAGGUGUGCUGGAGAGGAUAUGGUUGGAGCUAAACUCCACAAGAACAUGCCUCUCCAGGAGGACUGCACAUGACUGGGUUAGAUCAAAGGGAUUCAAUGGACAAAAAAGGACUGUCCUGUAUCCGCCAGACACUGGUGGGAGGAACCGAAGCACCUCUUUGACCACACAGUCCAGCAUCACUGAUGACGUUCCCAUGGCAACGAGAGCGGCAGUAUCCAUGCGCAUCGCCGAUCAGCCCCUCGCUUUCCAGCUCU